rnacentral:rRNA from 1 species
AGUGAACGCUGGCGGUAGGCCUAACACAUGCAAGUCGAACGGCAGCACAGUAAGAGCUUGCUCUUACGGGUGGCGAGUGGCGGACGGGUGAGGAAUACAUCGGAAUCUACUUUUUCGUGGGGGAUAACGUAGGGAAACUUACGCUAAUACCGCAUACGACCUACGGGUGAAAGCAGGGGAUCUUCGGACCUUGCGCGAUUGAAUUAGCCGAUGUCGGAUUAGCUAGUUGGCGGGGUAAAGGCCCACCAAGGCGACGAUCCGUAGCUGGUCUGAGAGGAUGAUCAGCCACACUGGAACUGAGACACGGUCCAGACUCCUACGGGAGGCAGCAGUGGGGAAUAUUGGGCAAUGGGCGAAAGCCUGAUCCAGCAAUACCGCGUGGGUGAAGAAGGUCUUCGGGUUGUAAAGCCCUUUUGUUGGGAAAGAAAAGAAGCAGGUUAAUACCCCGCUGUCCUGACGGUACCCAAAGAAUAAGCACCGGCUAACUUCGUG